ACCCAGGUUGGUCUUCCGGCAGGGCCCGCCUGACUUUGAAUCAGGAUUAGCGAAGUGGGUUCGACUCCCACCCUGGGUGCCA
rnacentral:tRNA from 1 species